rnacentral:misc_RNA from 1 species
AGCAUCAAUCCCCCCUUGGGUUUCUGAUCCGGGGUGGACUUGGACUUGGGUGUCUGCCGCUUCUGCUGGCUCGCCUCAAAUGACUUAGUGGGAUAAGCACCCGUGGCCCGACGUGAUAAGUUUUUGUCUGGGCCAGGUGCCAGGUCUGCUCACAACCCGUGCUCAUGCACAAUCUCUUUUGA